AUUUUUUACAAAUGAGUUUUGAAGUUAUCUCGUAUGCCACGAUGUCAUGAGUUUUUUGUUUAUGUUUUUUUUCCUGGUACAUGUCAUUGCUUUUCAUAUUGGAAAGUGUGUGAUGUCCUGGAGAGUUGUUAGAGGGUUGAAAGAAUUUUUGUGGUCUAGUGUAGAGUCACCUUUUAGGACAGGCAAACUUGUGUUAAGAGCAUUUCCUGUUGUUUUUGUUUUUGUUUUGGUUUUAAGAGCAGUUCCUGUGUAAAGAGGUGUGAGAAGAGAAACUUUGUGAUAUGAAGAAUGAUCUGAAGAACUAGUGCUGCCUUAUUUAUUGUACAAGUAAUGUGGAGAUUUUAUUUAUUUUGCUUUAAAACACAGAGGACACUUUCCAUGGAGAAAGUACUUAGAAGAUUUUCUGUACAUUAUAGGUGCUUCAGACAGCAGUAGUUCCCCUUCAACUUUAUCUGAAAUACCAGCUCAGCCAUCUUACAUUCAUCAGGGCUUUCAAAAUACCUCCAAAAGAAAUAAAGAAAGUUUAGGUCAGUGAUUCUCAAACUUUGUCAUGCAUCAGAAUCACUUGGAGGGCUUGUUAAAACACUGAUUGCUGAGCUUCAUUCUGACAUUGUAGUUUUUAGUGGAUCUGGAAUGGGACCUAGGAAUUCGUACUUUUUAACAGGUUCCUGAUGCUGCCUGUCCAGUGACCCCACUCUGAAAACUACCACUGUAGGAGGAAGAAUAGCAGUUCUAUCUUGACCACAUAGCAGAACAAUCUGGGGUGCUUUUGUAAAGUACAUGUGUUUACCUUAGACUUCCCAGCCAAAUCACAGUUUAUGGGUGAUUCUGAUUCUAGGUCGAAAAAACGGUUAGUUAUGUAUGCCCAUGUCCCCUGCAUGUCUGCCUUGCCAUUUUACCAUUCCAGUAAGGAGUAUUUCUCUUAUUCAUUGGCUUUUGAACUCUUUUGAUUGACUCACUGUGUGUGUGUGUGUGUAGCUGCAAUAAAACUGAAAUAAAGUGUGUCUUGACAUGCACACACACUACACACACAAAUAUACUGUUGGGUGUUUGUUUAUGCAGUAGUUAUGUUCUGUCAAGUUGCCACAAACAAUGGAUUAAUGAAUACUGAACCAUUGCUUCUAAAGGAAAUACAGGGCUGGUUCACAGGAACCUCUCUGGUCACAACAUUUUCAUCAAACAAAUCAAUACAAAUUCUUGUUUUAUGCAUGUUUGUGUUUUGAAGAUACUUUAUUUAACAUAUACUAUGGAUUCUUGGCAUUGAACUCACAGCCAGCAGCACUGUAAGUCAUGCCUGAAUGAAACUUGUCUAACACAGUUUCUCUGUAAGUUACAUCACAGCUGUCUUGUGCUUAAGAACAUUAUAGCACUUCACUACUGCAUUUGGGGAGUCCAUAAACAAUGAAAUCAUCAAAAAACUAUAAAAAUGCAAAAAAGUGGCACUAAAUAGAAUGUUAGAAAUACACUUAUUUAUAGUAUAAGAGCUGAAAGAAGAGUGUCACCUCCUUUGACCUCAGCUGGGAACAUAUGAUUGGGAUGAUUUGAAAGCCGCUUUGCACGUUCUUUGAAUGACUGUGAAAGUACUGCACAUAUUGAUUUUGGGGACCACACAUUUGUGUGAGGUGAAUUUGCAAACACAGAAUUUGUGAGUAUUGAGGAUUGGCUAUACAUAUAGCCAAUAGAAAUAGCUAUUUCUGUUUUGUUAAAUGAUCUAGUUACUGAUUUUAUGAUUGACUAGAGAUUCAACCCAUAGUUUGAAAAACACUUCUGAUACAGCAACACAUGUUACAUAUAACUUACUAGUUAUGCAGUGUUAAGUAGUUAAGUGAUAUUAAGCUAUAUAUAUAUACAUAUAUAUAUAUGUAUAUAUAUAUGCAUGUUUGUGUGUUUCCUUCAUUUAGAGUAUAUAAGGUUUAAUCUUGAUAAUGGGGAGCUGUGGUUUUGGAGGGUGCAUCAUCAGGUUUGUAUUUGUAAAAGAUCAUUGUUGAUGGAUGGGUUGUGGAGGGCAGCACAUGGCUAGCAGUGAUGGUGGUGGUGGCAGAGGUGGCAGAACAGAGACUAAGCGAGUUAUAAGGCCAAAGCACUGGAAAUGUGAUUUCUAGCUAUGUAUUUUCAGCAGAUUUGUGACAGAGUAAAGACAAUUGGGAUGCUUUGUGGAUUAAGGGAUUUCAAUUAAGUCUUAAUUUUAUAUCAGGGAUUCUUAAUUGAAAUUUCUGGUACCUAGAUAGACUUAAUGGGGUCUGUGAACUUACUGAUUUUUAAAAAUUAUUUUAUUUUAGACAAAAGUGGGGGAGAGGGGCAGAGAGGGAGAGUGAGAAUCCCAAGCAGGCUUCCUAUGCAGGGCUCAAUCCCAUGACUCCAGGAUCAUGACCUGAGCUGAAAUCAAGAGUCGGAUGUUCGACUGAGCCACCCAGGCACCCCUUACUGAUUUCUUUUUUUUUAACCACAGUUUUAUGUAGGUCUCCUGAUUACUCCUCUCAUCAUCAGGUUAUUAAUGAAGAAAAUGACCUAGAGGAGGUUAAGAAUUACAGUUUAGUAGAUAGUAUAGAUUGCUUUUUUCAUUGUUAAUCCUUAUUGUAUAUGAAUCACAAAGUUCUAAAUUUUCUGAGAAUUCUAAGGAGGUAUUUAAAAAGCUUUAGACUGGGGCACCUAGGUGGCUCAGUCAGUUAAGCGGCUGACUUCCGCUCAGGUGAUGAUCUCAUGGUUCAUGAGUUCAAGCCCCACAUCUCUCCUGCUCUGUGCUGACAGCUCAGAGCCUGGAGCCUGCUUCGGUUUCUGUGUCUCCCCCUCUCUCUCUGCCCCUCCCCUGCUCGCUCUCUCUCUCUCUCUCUCUCUCUCUCUCUCUCUCAAAAAUAAACAUUAAAAAAUUUAAAAAGCUUUAGACUGAGUUUGUUAUUAUGAAAUGCAGAAUUUUUACGUGGAAGCACGUUACUGAAGAAAGUAAAUGUACUGAAUGUAAAGAAGAUUCUUUGAAUCGUACUUUACAAAAGUAAAAUUUAGAUAAUUGUUUGCCUGUAUUGUAGUGAAUUUGUGUUUAGAAACAGUGGUGUAAUUAAAAUUUGCCUAAUAUGGUUUUUAUUUUUAGGGCAUGAUACAGCACAGGAAGAUACUCAUUCUAUAGAGUGGUAAUGCAGUACACAUGAUCACUGGAAACGUGCUCAGCCACCUGAGCAUGUUUGAAGUAGCUAAUGUCUCUGUAAAUUGGAAAAGCAAACCCCCAAAACAUCCAGCUUGUUUUAUCUGUUUUUGAAAAUACCCACCUCUCCUUUGUAGCAGCAUCAUACAUAUAUGCUUAUAUGUAAAACAUUCAGAAUAUACCCAUAAGUAUAAAGAAGAAAAUACAGAUCCCUUGCAAUCCUACCAUUCUGAGAUAUCCACGUUUUUGACCUUUGUGGAUGUACUUCCUUCCUUGCUUUUUUCCCCUCUGUAUUUAUAGGUAUAUAAGUAUAGGGUGUGUGUGUGUGUGUGUGUGUGUGUGUGUGUGUGUGUGUGUUAAGAGAGAGAGAUUUGCUUUUUAAUCUCUUCCUUUCAGAUUGAGAACUCUGUGGCCCAGCCUGAGUCAUCUUGUCAAUUAUUGGAUUAACCCUAGUUACUGUAGCCUGAGAAGUGGAUGGUAUAAGAGAAUGGCAGUUUGCAUUUUGAUCAUUGGUGUAAAGGGAGUUUGGGGAGGAAGGAACAGGGAUUCCCCAAAACAAGGGAUUAAGGCAUAAAUACAGUUGUUAAAAAAAAUUCCUGUGGGAUAGGCAUUGAUUCUGAUUUGUUAAAUACUAUAAGUAGGUGGUGUUCCAUUGUACAUUUAAUCAGUGUCCUCUUGAUGGAUAUUGGUUGUUAUGUAGCCAAAAUUUUCAUUUCUUAAUGAAAGAAUGCUUCUGGUUUUUUAAUUAAAAUUAAGGUCGUUUUGCCACCUCUCUCAAAAUUUACCUCAAGAUUUCUUCUAGAACCUGUCUGAUUUGUUCUAGUACGCAUGGCUCUGUAGGUCCAUUUUUUUUUUUCCAUCUAAAUGCAUGUCCAGUUGUCCAAACACCAUUUAAAAAAAAUCUUUUCUUCCUGGUUUGAGAUGCCACUUUCAUCAUCUUUGAAAUUUCUUAGCCAUUUGGAUUUAUUUUUAAAUUUUCUAUUUUGUUUCAUUGGGCAGAAGACUUUUUAAAACACUUUUUUUGAAGAUAUACUGUUGUAAUAUCAAUCAUUUCAUUGUUUUAUUUUUAUAUUUUUAUCAUUUAAAAAAUACAUGGUGAGGCUAGUUCUAACAUUCUUACUGCUUUCCUUUUCAGAGUUUUCCUUACUAUUGUUGCUCGUUUAUUUUUCCAUAUGACCUUUAUAAUUUUGUCUGACUUCAGAAAGAAAAUGUUGGUGUUUUACUGGCACUUACCAUACAUUUGUAAAUUAGCUUAUAGAUAAUUGACAUCUUUGUGAUGUUGACUUUUUAUCCAAGAACAUGAUUUGUCUCUUCAUUUGUUAGAGUCUAGUUAUAUUUAUUUUCAGGAGCAUUCUUUUUCUGUUUGCUUUUGUUUUUGGUUAAACUUAUUUCUCGGAAUUGUAUUUACUUGGUUGCUAUUGUAAAUGUUACCUUGUUUUCUAUUAUACUUUAUAACUUGUUAUUAUUUGUAUUUUUAAAAACUAUUGAUUUUUAUAUAUUAAUUUUAUAUCUUGUGACUUUAAGUUACCUGAUUGUACUUACUUUUGCAUGGGUUCUCUUGAGUUAUUGAGCUAUAAAUAUCAUGUAACUUACUUACGGAGAUAGUUUAUUUCUGCUUUUCUAACUAGUGUGCUUCUCAUUACCUUUCAUUAUUUAAAAUUUCUGUUGGAAAAUUAUUUCCAUUCCAUAUUGAAUAGUAGUAAGGAUAAUGGGCAUCUUUGUUUCUUACUUCAGUGUGACUGCUGGUAGUGUUUCUCCAUUAAAUAAGAUAUAGAUUAUUCUAGACUGAUUUAUAGACGUAGAAAACAAAAUAGGUAUUUACUCGGGCACCUGGGUGGCUCAGUUGGUUAAAGGUCGAAUUUUGGCUCAGGUCGUGAUCUCACAGUUUGUGAGUUCAAGCCCCGCGUCAGGCUCUUUGCUGACAGCUCAGAGCCUGGAGCCUGCUUCAGAUUCUGUGUCUCCCUCUCUCUCUGUCCUCCCCCACCCCCUGCCUCUCAAACAUAAAUAAACGUUAAAAAAAAAUAUAGGUACUUACAGUAGAAUAUUAUACAUAUGUAUGUAAUUUCAUAAAAAUAAUAUGUAAAACCUUCAGUGUUUCUACCAUAAAUGAGUCUUGAAUAUUUUCAAAUGCCUUUUUGGAAUUUGUGGAGAUUUUCCCUUCAGAUCUGUUCAUUAUUGAUGAAUUAUAAUAUUGAACCAUCCCCAGCAUUUGUGGAAUGAACACCAUUUGGUGAUGAGGUAUUAUUCUUUUUAAAAAUAUUUUUAGUCUUACUCUUCUCUGUAACAGGAUUUACAGAGAUUUGGCGUCUUGUUGGCCCAAGGUGGCCACUCGAUAGCUUCUAAAUUUAUAUCUAUUUAAGCAGAAAUCUCUGGCUGAGAUUAGUGAUUCACUCUCAUUUCUAACUUCCCAGGAGAUAUAAUAUGAUUGACCUAAUUCAGGUAAGGUAUCUAGCCUGAUUCAGUUGACUGUGUUUGGGGUAAGGUGAGAUGAUUGACUACCUUGGUGGAUAGCAACCCACUCCUGGGGAGACCAUGGUAGUUGAGAGAGUGGACAUUGGUGGGAGUGAGACUGACUUCUCAAAAGGUGUCUAACUAUAAUUUUGUAUUUUGCAAAAUCCUGUUUAUAUAGUUACAUAGUUAGCAAAAUUCCAGGUUUUACUGAAACAGACUAAGAUUUCUUUUUUAAAUUGUAGUCUAUUAUUGGAUCACCACUGGCUUUCUUAUCUACUCUACAGUACACGUUUUCAGUGGUUACUUGGAGUUAAGAAAGAUCAUAAAUGGCUGUCCCUCUGAGUCACCUUUCACCACUACUGCCUACCCCACUGCAAGGGGGAAAGUUCUUAAUCUUAGCAUAUGUGUAAAGGUGUAUAUAUUCAGUUCUGACAUCUAUUCCAGUGUGGGGGAUCCCCUCUCCCCCUCCCCCCCCCCCCCCCCCCCCCCCCCCGCACACACACACCAAGCAAUUCUCUGACAUCAGCGCAGUGUCCUACAAUUCAACUCAAUUCUGACACUGGAGAUAGCAUUAGAUCCUAAAGGUUAAGGGCUCAGCUCAGUUCUACAAGACUGUUCCCCUCUUCCACUUUCAGAUGCCAAUCACGAGUUCAGGUAGUCGCCUGUGCAUCUGACUGACUGGUUCUAGAUCGACGUAUCCAACCACCCCCUCCUUAGGUUCAAUUAAUUUGCUAAAGUGGCUCACAGAACUCAGAGAAACGUUUUACGUGGUAGAUGACUGGUUUAUUAAUAAAAGGAUAAAACUUGGGAACAGUCAGGGAGAAGGCAAUUUAUAGGGCAACAUAUGGGGAAAGGGGCACGGGGUGUCCAUACCCUCUUGGAAUUUGCCACUCUUCCAGCCACCUCCAUGUAUCUAUCAGCCUGUGAACUCUCUGAACCUAGUCCUUUUGGGGUUUUUUAUGGAGGCUUCAUUGCAUAGGCAUAAUUGAUUAACUAUUGGUGAUUGAUCUACAAUCUGUAGGCCAUCUCCUCUCCCCAGAGAUUAGGUUUGGGACUGAAAGUUCCAAUUCUCUAAUCACAUGAUUGGUUCUCUUGACAACCAGCCACCAUGCUUUAGAUGCUUUCCAAAAGUCACCUCAUAACAUAAACUAUAUAUGCUUGAAAGGGAUUUGUUAGGAAUAUCAAGUCACACUUAUCACUUAGGAAAUUCCAAGAGUUUUAGGAGUUCUGUGCCAGGAAUUGGGACUCACAUCGAAUGUGUAUUUCUUGUUAUCACAGUAUUACAUGGGUUUUCAAAAGUUAGAAUUUAAUUAUUUAUGUAUAGCAAAUUUUCUAUUUGAAAGAUGUCUUUCUAAAAUAGAUUUGUUGAGGUAUAUUGAUGAAUGAACAGCACAUACUUAACAUGUACAGUUUGUUGACAUUUAUAUACACCUGUAAAACCGUUAUUACCACAGUUAAGAUAAUGAACAUAUUUACCAUCUCUAAAAGUUGUUUCCUCAUGCUCCUUUAUAAGUCCUCUCUCCUUUUUUCGGGCAAACACUAAUCUGCUGUCACUGUGGAUUAGUGGUUUGCAUUUUCUAGAUUUUUAUAUAAAUAGAGUCAUUAAGCAUAUAUUCUUUCUUGGUCUGGUUUCUUUCACUCAGCAUGAUUGUUUGAGAUUCAUACAUAUUAUACCAUGUAUCAAUAAUUCAUUCCUUUUUAUUGCUGAGAGUAGUCUCUUUUAUGGAUAUACCACAGUUUAUCCACUCACCAGUUGAGCAAAUAAAGCUGCUGUGAACAUUUGUGUACAUCUGUUUUCAUUUGUUUUGGGUAAAUACCUGGAGAUUAAACGGCUUGAUUAUAUAGUGGGUAUAUUAAAACUGUUUAAUUUUUUUGAAAAGCUGUUAAACUGUUUUCCAGAGUGGUUAUACCAUAAAGAUACCUUUUGUGAGAUGCAUAGUUUAGAACCUUGCUGUUCAGUUUGGUCUGUGGAUAUGGCAUUACUUGGGAGUUUUGUUAAAAUUGCUUGAAUUUGAAGUCUCAUUCUACACCUGUUGAAUCAAAAAUGUGCAUUUUAAAAAGAUCACUAGGUGGUUCAUAUGCACAUUAGAAUUUGAGAAGCUUGGGUUUAGAGCAGUAGUUCUCAACCUUUUUUUUUUUUUUUUUUUUCCUGUAACAUCUGAGGGUUUUGAUACAUUUCUAUGAAAUUCUCAAAUGGGUCCAGGAGAUGGAGGAUGGUUUUUUAAAAUCUAACAUAAUAUUGAUGAAUGCAGAGUAUUCUGCCUCCCCCACCUCCCCUAUGUGAUUGCUUCCUUCAUAGUGGCAGUAGAGUGUUUUUGUCUAUUGCCCAUUUCAGAUUUGGUGGUUUCCGGAAGAAUUGCUUUCCAAGCAUUUUUCCAAGUAUAGAGCUCUACAGUCUGGCACAGUUUUUUUGUGGGUGAGAGAUACUUAUUUUCUUUCUGUGUAAUUUCUAGGGUGAAUGAAUCCAAUUUGCUAGCUUUUUUUUUUUUUUAAAUGUUCUUAUUUUUCCUUUGCAUAACCAGUGAUCGAAUUCUUGGUUGUUUUCACAUAUAGGUAUCUUGAAAUUUUCUGUAAGAGCUGUCUCUCUACUCUUAGUAUUCAAGAAAUGCAAAAUUAUACCGGAAAUAACUUUGUUAAUCAAUAGAUGAAUUUGCUCAGUAUCAAAUAAUGCUUUUUAAAACCCUGUGUCAGUGAUUUAUUUUUGCUUAGUUUUGAAUUUUCUCUACUACUGCUCAUUUCUGUUGUUGUUUGUGGAUAUUUAAGAGCAAGCCAGCCAUUGAUGUUAUUAUCACCUUCCUAAAUUAGUGUUGAUGUUGAAGGUCAGGGUCUUAAUCAGCAUCAGGAAAUUCUCAAUUUAAAACAAGGUUUCAAAAACCCAACAAUUAGAUAACAAAGAUUAAUCAUUAGUUACUUUAUCAAGUGGAACUAGUUGCUGUUAUAUAACUUCUGAUUGACUUGUUAUCCAAAACUGGAUUUGUAAGUCAGGUUCUAGAAUUAUAACAUGUGUGAUAAAAUAUGUCUAUACAAUAAGAUUACUUUCACUUUUACAUUUCUGCUUAAGGUAUCAGUUACUCCAGCCAUUAAAGUCCUCUUACCUUCUUUUCUUCUUCAAAUCCCCACAGGCAGUUAAGAUAGAGAAACUGAGGGUGAUUCAGUUCUUAUUCAUUUAAAAUUUAACACAGCUGUUUUUCAGAAGAGAAAAAUCUUUACCCUGUUAUUAAAUUCUAAAAAGAAUUUAUUGCAAAUGGGCACUUACCUGUUUAGUUGAUAAAUGUCUUUAAAUCCACUUUUAUAGAAAAAAACAGAAACCUUAGUAAUGUGACUGUUUAUUGAUUUUUUAGCUAAAGCUAAUAUAUUUCUUUGGGAGGCAAAAUUAAUGAAAUACAUAUAACUUUACUUACAAAAGCAGUAUUUAGAAUAUUAGAGGAAUGGAUAGGUAGCAUAUUGAGAGUAGAUAUCCCUGUCUUCCUAAUUUUAUGGGAGAAGCAUUCAGUAUUUCACUGAAGUACGAUGUUGUGGGUUUUGUUUUUAGUAGAUCUCCUUUAUCAGAUUGAAGAAAUUCUCUUAUAUAUUUUUAGUUUUCUGUGAAUUUUUAGAAAGGAUGUUGGAUUUUGUAAAUGCUUUUUCUGUGUAUAGAAAUGAUCAUGGCUUAAAAAAAUUAAUAUAGUGAAUUACACUGGUUUUGAAAUCAAUGUUGCAUUCCUGGGAUAAACCAUAUUUGGUCAUGUAUUCUCCUUUUAACAUGUUGGAUUCUGUUUGCUAAAUUUUUGUUUGGGAUGAUUGUAUCUGAAGGGAUAUUCAUCUGUAGUUGUCUUCUCCUGAAAUGUCUUUUUCUGGUUUUGGUAUCGUAAUACUGGCUUCAUAGAAUGAGUUGAUAAGUAUUCUUUCCACUUCUGUAUGAUGGAAAAAUUUGUGUAGAGUUGCUGUUUCCUCCUCAAAUAUUUUGUAGAAUUUGUCAGUGAAGCCAUCUGUCCCUGGAAUUUUCUUGUAUGAAGGAUUUUUAACUAUAGCUCAGUUUCUGUAAUAGAGGGUCAUUCAAAUUAUCUGUUUCUUCCUGAGUGAACUUUGGCAAAAGUUUGUUUCUUUUAAGGAAAUUGUCCUUUUCAUUUAUUGACAAGUUUACUGGUAUGAAGUUCAUAAUACACUCUAGGGUGAUGUUUCCUCUUAUGUUCCUGAUAUUGGUAAUUUGUGUCUUCCCACUUUUCCCCUCAUCAGUCUGGCUAGAAGCUUAUCAAUUUUAUUGAUUUUGUUAAAGAAUCAGCUUUUGGGUUCAUUGGUUUUUCUCUGUUGAUUUUGUUUUGUUUUAUUGAUUUCCACUUUAAUCUUGAUCAUUUCCUUUCUUCUGCUUACUUGGGUCUAAUAUGCUCUUUUUUCUAGUUUCUUAGGGUGGAAGCUAAUGUUAUUGAUUUAAGACCUUUUUAAUGUAAGUAUUGAGUGCAAUAAAUUUUCUAUUUUAGCAAUAUUUUGCAACUUUUUGUUUAAAUUUUCAUUCACCUUAAGAUACUUUGUAAUUUUCCUUUUGAUACCUCUGACCCUGGGGUUAUUUAGAAACGUGUUAUUUAGUUUCCAAAUAUUUAAUGGUUUCACAGAGAUUUUUCUGUUAUGAAUUUCUAACUUGAUUGCAUGGUGAUCUGAGGACAUAUGGUUUGAAUUCUUACAAACUUUUUGAAAUAUGUAAUAUGCUUUUCAGAGUAUGUUCUGUCUUGGUAAAUGGUCCCUGUGGACAUGAAAAGAAGGUGUAUGCUGCCUUUGGAUGGAGCAUUGUGUAAAAGUCAGAUCAAGUUAGGGGUGCCUGGGUGGCUCAGUCAGUUAAGCAUCCGAUUUUGGCUCAGGUCUUGAUCUAACAGUUUGUGGGUUUCAGUUCCGCAUCAGGCUCUGUGCUGACAGCUUAGAGUCUGGAGCCUGCUUUGGAUUCUGUGUCUCCCUCUCUCUUUGCCUCUCCCCCACUCGCAUUCUGUCCCUUUCAAAAAUAAAAUAAACAUUAAAAAAAAAAUUUUUUUUAAGUUAGAUCAAGUUAGCUAGUAGUGUUAAAGUCUACUACUAUAUCUUUGCUGAUUUUCUGUCUACUUGUUUUAUGUGUUAUUGAAAAUAUGGUAUUAAAACCUCUGUAAUUGUGAAUUUGCCUUUUUACCCUUGAAUUUAUACUUGGUUUUGUUUAAUGUAUCUUGAAGCUUUGUUAUUAGGUGCAUAAAUGAGUAGGGUUGUUAUGUCCUUUUGACUGAUGGAUCUCUUUAAGCAUAAUGAAAUAAACUUCUUGAGGUGCCUGGGUGGCUCAGUCGGUUAAAUGUCUGACUUUGGUUCAGGUCCUGAUCUCACAGUUCGUGAGUUCUAGCCCCACAUUGGGCUCUGUGCUGACAGCUCAGAGCCUGGGGCCUGCUUUGGAUUCUGUGUCUCCUCUGUCUCUGCCCCUCCUAUACUUGUGUGUGCACUCUCUCAAAAAUAAAAAUAAAUAUUAAAAAUAUAAAUUUCCUUUUUUUAGGGUUUUUUUUUUUUUUUUUUUUGUAAUUUCUGCACCCAAUGUGGGACUCAAACUCACAACCCCGAGAUCAAUGUCCGCAUGCUCUUCUAACUGAGCCAGCCAGGUUCCCCAAUGAAAUAAACCUCUUAAUCCUUGGUAGUUUGUUCUGAAAUCUUUGUUGGAUGCUAAUAUGGUCAUAUUAAAUCUCUAUGACUAAGCGUUAGCAUGGUUUAUCUUUUUCGUUUGUUUUUUUUUUUU